rnacentral:lncRNA from 1 species
UCGAGACCUUGCCCUCAGAUCGGCAUUGGUCAGUCUUUCCCUCCUCGGCUCGGAUGUAUUUCUAUGUGCGCUCGAGGGGUUCGAUAUAUGUCCAGGAAAGCAUCUUGUCUAGAGAGUAGGAGAACUUAGAGCUACGUAGUCCUCGCUUCACGGCUACAAUGGCCGUCGAUUCAUCGAGAUCUUGGACCUCCAGGGUGGCAGCAUUGAAGCACGCCACAAAGUCUCAUGAGAGUCUCUAUCUUGCUGCCUGAUGGAGAAAAGGCUAUCGGAUGUUCGUGGUGUCUUCCAAUUGGUAUCGAAGUACAUCAAAAAGAAUUGUUUGAGCUAGUUGAAUGAAUGGAUACUCCCUGGUUGAAGUUUGGAGUAUCAUGUUUGGGUGAUCUUGCUAAGGGCGACUGGAAAGGCGAUGCAGAGGAGGGCAUCAGAUGCCCCCUGAAGAAGCAUGAGAGCUUUGUAGCUCUCAAGAUGAUAGAACAGAUAGAUGAAGCCAUCGUAUGAUUCUAUCUGUGGCAUCUUGAGCUGAUCCAAAAUCGAUUCGUCAAGAAUCCAUCGAGAGAAAGGUGGAUAGGUGCUAAUGUCGAGCUCACCAGUAAAAUCUUGGUUGU